AUAUUUCAUCUAAUGCCCUUGAUCAAAUUUUGUGCAGCAACAAUGGCAAUGAGCUGGAGACAGAUUCAGCGAAGAGUCAUGAACAAUUAGCUCUUCUUGUGCAAUCUAAAAGGUGAACAACUGAACUUAGCUAGAAACUUUAGGCCUGACUAUGUAGCAAUUAUAUGGAGACUACUAUAAUGGUUAUCUUUUUUGUAAACGAUUCAUUGUAUCAUGUGUGAAUUGUUAUUAUUAUAUAUAAUAAGCUCCUCUGGAGCAAUGUAAUUUAGUGCAGACAGGAGGUGGCAAUGUUGGAGAAUGAUAUUGUUUCCAAUUAAAAAUUUAUUGAAGAAAGAGAACAAGGGAUUGAAGAAAUUCAACAGCAGAUUGGUGAGGUGAAUGAGAUUUUUAAGGAUCUGGCUGUGCUAGUUCAUGAGCAAGGAGUUAUGAUUGAUGACAUUAGCUCAAACAUUGAGAGCUCUCAUGCUGGAACUGCACGAGCUACUUGCCAUUUUAUAUAUGGUUUUGCAGAUGGUUUUAUAGCUAUAUAUCCAUGGAUAUAUAAUUUUUUGGCAAUUACGGGUGGGCAUUGUUUUUAUACCUUUAUCCGUAUAUAUAGUGGUUCGAACAAAUUAAUUUGGUUAUUCAUGUAUUAUGUAUGGAUUUAAAUUAUUGACGUUGGAUUAGACUUGGAGUGUAUGGAAUUUGUAUUAUAUAUAGAAUUGGACGUUCAAGAUUAA